GCAUAUUAACGUUACUGAGGUGAAGUUGCAGCUGUAAGAACCUUAAAUCUGAGGUAACGUUACAACUGUGUUUAGAGCGCUUUAUGCCUUCAACAGGAGCUGGCAGAGUAAUUGUCAAGAAAAGAAGACACCAUUUACGAUUUUAUUUUUUUUAUUUUUUUUAAGAGAUAAGACUAGGUGAAGAUCUGACAUCGCAGAAUUCUUCAAGGAUAACACGCCUUUUCUGCCAAACGAGGUCUAAUUGCUGCUGUACUGUACACCCCAAGCAACCCCUGCAUUCUUAUCAUGGAUUGCUGUCAUUCAAGGAGUUAUCAUUUCCUCCCAUUGUGGCUGAGCUACACAUUCUCUUUGUUUUAUUUUAAACAUAAAAAAUCCAGAGGAGAUGGCACCUAUGCUGGAAUCCAUACAAUUUCUUCCUGUGAAGAAAUCCUGAACGAGGGUCAAAGGUUGAGAUGAUGGGAACCUACGCUUCCAAGACUUUGAGAAUCCAUGUACAAUUUGAGCUUUUUUCAAAUCUCAACAUGGAACUUGGACUGAACAUGCAGAAAAAAAGGGAAAAAAGUAGUUUCCACAAACUGGCACAUGGCAAGAGAUACUAAAAGCACACAAGUUUAGUUUAGUAUAGUUGUAUAGUAUAGUUUCACAUUGAAAUGUGAGGCAUGAGUGCAUGAAUCUUUGUUUUUUUAUUUUCAAAUGCUGUACAAGAAAGUAUUUUUUGCAGUACCAUGUCAAUUGUAGAUGCAGAUAAUUUAGCAUGAAUUAGAGGUUAGUAAUCUAACUUAAAGGGUUAGUUCACACAAAAUGUUAUAUGAAAAAUCUUGUUCCAAUCCUGUUAGACUUUUUUUCAUUUUUGGAACACUAAUGAAGAUCCUUUAUAAUGAAAUCUGACAGCUAUACCUUAUUGGACCUUGAAAUGGUAGUUGUCAAUGGAGGGACAGAAAGCACAGAGAUUUAAUUAAAAAUACUCUUUGUUUGUGUUCCAAAGAUGAAUGAAAAUCUUACGGAUUUGGAACGGUAUGAGAGUGAGUAACUGAUGACAGAAUUCACAUUUUUGGGUGAACUGUCCUUUUAAAUAAUAUUGUGUUCUUCUAUAGGUUAAAUGGUAUAAACACUGGAACGUUUCACUUGACUAUUGACUGUAAGUCUGUAGCAGUUGUUAUUAAUGACAGCCCUGUCUUUGUAUUAAUUUUUUUCCCCCAUGUAUUUGAAAAUAAGUUUAUCUUUGUGACAACUAUUUGGUGCAACACCAAUAUUGUACAUGUCAAGUACCUGCUCAUGUUUUCUUUUAUCUGCAUUUUGCUGUUUAAAACUAAAAAGUGUUCCACAAUACAAGCAUUUUCAAUGGUCCUUUACACAUUGUUAAAUUAAUUGAUGUAAUAAUAUUUUUGUCUUCACCUGUUUAAGGCAAAUAAAAGCUA